GUCUCCGUAACGCAAAGGUUAGCGCGCUGAACUUGUAAUCCAGAGGUCGCAGGUUCGAAUCCCGCCGGAGAUU